rnacentral:rRNA from 1 species
UACGUAGGGUGCAAGCGUUGUCCGGAAUUAUUGGGCGUAAAGGGCUCGUAGGCGGUUUGUCGCGUCGGGAGUGAAAACCCAGGGCUUAACUCUGGGCUUGCUUUCGAUACGGGCAGACUAGAGGUAUGCAGGGGGAGAACGGAAUUCCUGGUGUGGCGGUGAAAUGCGCAGAUAUCAGGAGGAACACCGGUGGCGAAGGCGGUUCUCUGGGCAUGAUCUGACGCUGAGGAGCGAAAGUGUGGGGAGCGAACAGG